CCUACGGGAGGCAGCAGUGGGGAAUCUUCACAAUGGAGGAAAGCCUGAUCAGCACAGCCGCGGAGCAAGAAGGCGUUGGCUGGUAAAGCUCUGUAUCAGGGAGGAAAAAAACUGUUAACCCCCGGACAAGACGUACACAGAAAAGCAAGCUACUCG
rnacentral:rRNA from 1 species